GCCGUUGUGGUGUAGUGGUCAGCACGCUCGGCGCGUAUUCGAGAGGUCCGGGGUUCGAGUCCUGGCGAGGGCA
rnacentral:tRNA from 1 species